rnacentral:rRNA from 1 species
AGAACGAACGCUGGCGGCAUGCCUAAUACAUGCAAGUCGAACGAACACUUCGGUGUUAGUGGCGCACGGGUGCGUAACGCGUGGGAAUCUGCCCUUGGGUUCGGAAUAACAGUUGGAAACGACUGCUAAUACCGGAUGAUAUCGAAAGAUCAAAGAUUUAUCGCCCAGGGAUGAGCCCGCGUAGGAUUAGCUAGUUGGUGAGGUAAAGGCUCACCAAGGCGACGAUCCGUAGCUGGUCUGAGAGGAUGAUCAGCCACACUGGGACUGAGACACGGCCCAGACUCCUACGGGAGGCAGCAGUAGGGAAUAUUGGACAAGUGGGCGCAAGCCUGAUCCAGCAAUGCCGCGUGAGUGAUGAAGCGUUAGGUAGUAAGCUCUUUACCCGAGUAUGAUAAUGACAGUAGUCGGAAGAACUAA